rnacentral:rRNA from 1 species
GACGAACGCUGGCGGCGUGCCUAAUACAUGCAAGUCGAGCGGAGCGGCGGACGGGUGAGUAAUGCCUAGGAAUCUGCCUGGUAGUGGGGGAUAACGUCCGGAACCGGGAGCUAAUACCGCAUCCUCUCACAUGAGCCUAGGUCGGAUUAGCUAGUUGGUGGGGUAAAGGCCUACCAAGGCCACGAUCCGUAACUGGUCUGAGAGGAUGAUCAGUCACACUGGAACUGAGACACGGUCCAGACUCCUACGGGAGGCAGCAGUGGGGAAUAUUGGACAAUGGGCGAAAGCCUGAUCCAGCCAUGCCGCGUGUGUGAAGAAGGUCUUCGGAUUGUAAAGCACUUUAAGUUGGGAGGCGUUACCAACAGAAUAAGCACCGGCUAACUUCGUGCCAGCCGCCGCGGUAAUAC